GCAUCCCUGUCGUGCCGAGCUUCCAUAUCCAUGCUCUUGGUGACACUACCAAUGGCUGCAAUUCCAUGGGUCCUCACUUCAAUCCUCUUAACAAACACCAUGGAGCUCCUGCCGAUCAUCACCGUCAUGCUGGUGAUUUGGGGGUUGCUGAGAUUUCUAUCACAGAUUCACAGAUUCCGUUGAGUGGAGUGCAUUCCAUACUUGGCAGGGCGAUUGUUGUGCAUGCUGAUCCUGAUGACCUUAGAAGGGGU